GUGACCCUAGCCGGCCGCCAUCCCUGACGCCUGCGAGGGUCGCGUUUGUAGCGUGCGGGGGUCGCGCAGUGGCGGGCUGAGGUGAGCGUUUAGAGAUUUAGGGUCCGUGACUCGCCUCCAGCGGUGACGACAGAGGUCAUGGGUCAGUUGAGCAUUUUUGUCACCUGCAAAUAAUUUUAGCCAAGUGGCAAGUGUAUAUGGAAUAAGAAGAACCUGCUUCUGCCUCUAACUUGGGCAGUGGAUUUGUGGAAGCUUGCAAAAGACAGUCUGGUUAGAUGAGAUACUGCAUACCGAUAAAAAUCAGGAUUUGGGCCGGGCGCGGUGGCUCAAGCCUGUAAUCCCAGCACU